AAAAAGGCAAUGAAGAGAAGAGUAGGUAGAGGAAGUAAUGAUAGCGAGUUGAUGAUGGUGGAAGAUCAACAUGAAGCCUGUAUUGAAGAACAUCUCUGAGUCCCUAAUCGAAAUACAUUUGUAGAGUAGGCUUAGGCGGAACCAAACCGUUAUCUAUUGGGCAGUAUCGAAUUUUUUAUUCCGUACUGAGAAGAGAGCUAUGCUAUUUAGCUAAUUAAGGUGGUACCGCGGAGACAAUUAUGUCCUUCGUCCUUUAU
rnacentral:ncRNA from 1 species